rnacentral:tRNA from 1 species
GCUCACGUAGCUCAGGAGGUCAGAGCGUAUCCUUGGUAAGGAUAAGGCCACCGGUUCGAGUCCGGUCGUGAGCUCCA